rnacentral:lncRNA from 1 species
UUUAAAGCAUUCAAAAUCAUUGUAUAUGAAGUUUAUCAGGACGAUUAUUAGGUGAGGGCAUCGUAGACCCAUUUUUCUGUUAUCCUGAAGGUCUGUCGUGUUCGGAGCACAGGCCUGAGUCAGGAGGUGUGUGGGAAUCUCUGACCUAUGAGCCCACAGCGGCAGGUUCUCACGGACACAGGAGCGUAGAGUUGGAAGGGUCUGUGUGAUUUUGCUCAUUUAAGACCCACAAGAUGAAAAUAAAAUUGGAAUUGAUGGAAUUCAAAAGUUUUGUGAUGAUUUAAGCGUAGAUCCUGCCAGUGUCACCGUUUUGGGUAUAGCUGGAAAUUUAGGGCCACAACUCUAUGUGAAUUUAGCAAAAAGGAAUUUGUAGAUGGCAUGGCAGAGCUUGGGGUUGGGAUAAAAGCUUCAUUCAUACCUUAACAUGUUUCUUACUUGCUGGAUGAGUCGGAGAGACUUAGAAGUGGCCGUCGCAUAUUGGAAUUUGGUAUUAUCCGGAAGCCUUAAGUUUUUAGAUCUUUGGAACAUCUUUUUGUUGGUAAGUGUCUCCCUGCUUGCGGGGGCCCCGCGUGAGGGGUCAGUGGGUGCGGUGGCCGUCCGUACUAACUGAUGGCUUGUCCGCGGGCACUGUGGAGCCAGGGUCUCGCGCAGAGGUCACCAAGGAGACGACCCGCGGCCACGCUCUGCCACCAGCUGAAAGCGGCGCCCAGGGGCUCUGACCCGGCUGCUCCGAG